UACGUAGGGGGCAAGCGUUGUCCGGAAUCAUUGGGCGUAAAGCGCGCGUAGGCGGCCCGGUAAGUCCGCUCUGAAAGUCCAGGGCUCAACCCUGGAAAGCGGGUGGAUACUGCCGGGCUAGAAUCCGGAAGAGGCGAGCGGAAUUCCUGGUGUAGCGGUGGAAUGCGCAGAUAUCAGGAGGAACACCAAUAGCGAAGGCAGCUCGCUGGGACGGUAUUGACGCUAAGGCGCGAAAGCGUGGGGAGCAAACAGG
rnacentral:rRNA from 1 species